rnacentral:rRNA from 1 species
AGUGAACGCUGGCGGUAGGCCUAACACAUGCAAGUCGAACGGCAGCACAGGAGAGCUUGCUCUCUGGGUGGCGAGUGGCGGACGGGUGAGGAAUUCAUCGGAAUCUACCUUUUCGUGGGGGAUAACGCAGGGAAACUUACGCUAAUACCGCAUACGACCUACGGGUGAAAGUGGGGGACCGUAAGGCCCCACGCGAUUAGAUGAGCCGGUGUCCGAUUGGCUAGUUGGCGGGGUAAUGGCCCACCAAGGGGACGCCCGGUAGCUGGUCUGAAGGGAUGGUCAGCCAGACAGGAACUGAGACACGGUCCAGAAUCCUACGGGAGGCAGCAGUGGGGAAUAUUGGAUAAUGGGCGCAAGCCUGAUCCAGCCAUACCGCGUGGGUGAAGAAGGCCUUCGGGUUGUAAAGCCCUUUUGUUGGGAAAGAAAUCCUGUCGAUUAAUACUCGGUGGGGAUGACGGUACCCAAAGAAUAAGCACCGACUAACUUCGUGCCAGCCGCCGCCGUAAUAC